AGAGCGAACGCUGGCGGCAUGCUUAACACGUGCAAGUCGCACGGGCAGGGGAAACCCUGUCAGUGGCGGACGGGUGAGUAACGCGUAGGAAUCUAUCUCUGGGUGGGGGACAACCGUGGGAAACUACGGCUAAUACCGCAUGACACCUGAGGGUCAAAGGCGCAAGUCGCCUGGAGAGGAGCCUGCGUACGAUUAGCUUGUUGGUGGGGUAAAGGCCUACCAAGGCGACGAUCGUUAGCUGGUCUGAGAGGAUGAUCAGCCACAUUGGGACUGAGACACGGCCCAAACUCCUACGGGAGGCAGCAGUGGGGAAUAUUGGACAAUGGGCGAAAGCCUGAUCCAGCAAUGCCGCGUGGGUGAAGAAGGUCUUCGGAUUGUAAACCCCUUUCAGCAGGGACGAAGCGAAAGUGACGGUACCUGCAGAAGAAGCGCCGGCUAACUACGUGCCAGCAGCCGC
rnacentral:rRNA from 1 species